AAAUAAAAGGCGUUUUGAACUCGCAGUUUGACAAAAAAGAACUCGCACAAAAAGUUCAAAUUGCAGAGAUACAGAGAGUUUCUUCUAUGUUGUUGACUGCAUCUGUUCCUGUGAUUCAAGUUUGUAAAAACCACAGAAAAAUUUUGCAGGUCUUUACAGUGAUUUCAGAAAUCAUGGCGGAUGUUUGCAUCAUAUUCCUUUUCAGAUCUUGGCAUGAUUUACGACGCCACCAAACAUCCAUCGGUUUCCAGAUCUUGUCAAAUGGAAUUGAAACAAAAUCUGCAUUUUGUAAAAUUAAAGACAUCCGCCCCGGGGGAAGGGAGGCGGGAGGGGUUGCAAAGUGCAAAGUGCAAACAGCACAGCCUGUUAACUAAGAACGUACUCAAAAUGACUUUCCUUUGUUUACUAUGAUACUGUGCCAGCAAGAAGUGAAGAUGAAAGACCUGUCUUCGUCUGGACGUUUUCGAGCAUUCCUUGUCAGUUGUUAAAACCUGUCUAUUUUGUCUCGUCAGUUUUGAAUUUCCGACUUGAAUACCCAUGCACGGGUUAAAUCAUCACAAAUCCGUGGGGUUGAUGUGUUUAUAUGCGGGUGUCUCGUAGCAUUCCGGAGCAGGACGCGGCCUCCAUCUGGAGCCCCUCCCGAACCCAGACAAUAUCGAGGCCACUGCUCAAACUGGCCUCCAUAGUAUAUUUCGUUGAUCAGUUCCCAUCCUCCGUGCGAGAAAAAGAAACAAAAACAAUGAAAUAAUGCAACCACAACCACCACCAACUGAAGAGAAGGUACGCUGCCGCAACCACCAACUGUUCAUGUACAGCCACCAUAGCCCUAUACGCUCAUCAUGCACCGUAUAUCAGAUCAAUAUUAUGGGGUUGGGAGGAGGAUGGUUUUCUAGGUUUGUUCAUUUUCAGUUUAUUUAUUUCUUGUUUUAAGAUUUUAAAUGAUAGCAACAGCUGCAUGGGGGAGGCGUUGCUACAUACAUGUAUACACACACACACACACAUGCAUAUAGAGAUAUAUAUAUAUAUAUAUAUAUAUAUAUAUGUAUUGUUUGGACAGAAGAAGGCUCGCUCUCAAUCGCAUGUGCAACGCCACGUGAACUCUUUGUCAAUAAUUCGGUUUCAAGAAAGAUACGUUGUCGGAGGGAUGGAACGUGAACAUGAAGACGAGAGCACCAUUACCCAUCCAUCCCACGGACUGGAAACUGGUCACUCUUCGGUCAAUUACGUAGGAUUGCGAUGUAAUAUCUUGUCGGAAAUCCAGAACAAAUGGUCCGGGGAUGUACUGCUCAGUGUACGCUACAGCCUCUUCUUUUGCUUAACCAAAUGCCACUCACUCCUCCGCAAACCGCGUGAAAAAGCAGAAAGUGAUGGAAUUCUAACACACGCUUAAUCAAGAUGUUGCUUUCAUGUCCUUUUCCUUUUGUCCCUCAUCAUUUAAAUGCGAAAAAAACCAGAAAAAAAAAAAAAAAAACUUCCCUCCUCAAAUCAAGUCAUGAUGAUGUUUAUUGAAUGGAAAAUCAAUUUAUUUACUCAUCUUUUACACAAUAUCAAACUGACGAGUGCUGUUGUUAUCACCCUUACCCUUUUCUAAUUAAUGUUCCGGUUGCCUCCUUGUUUUAGCGUUCCAAGUUAAAAGACACGCCGUAGAACAUUGGGAAGAUAACAGGGAGAAAUUACCUCACGGACCAAUAUCUAGAUUAUACCACUAUAUAUAAGGCUAGAAUAAGGAGAUACACAUGCUAUGGCCUAUACCAAAACAGAAACAAAAACUGGACAAAAACCCAAAAAAAA